AAGUCGUAACAAGGUUUCCGUAGGUGAACCUGCGGAAGGAUCAUUAACAUUUUCCAAAACCUUCUUCUCAACCCCAACCAUAUGUCGUUAAUUCGUUAUAUCUCUUCUAUAAACAGUCGAUUGUUAUGAAUGAAAGCAUUUUUAAUGUUUUGUGUGUAAAGCAAGAUAGAGAAAGUGUGAUUAGUUUUAGCAAUUGGCAACUCGUUUUUUAACCCCAAACCCAACCUAAACAUUAUUUAGAACAGUUAAACGGAAGUUUGGAGAAAUCCCUACAACCGUGUUUUAUUGAAAGAUAAAACGAAACCAAGUACAACUCUAAGCGAUGGAUGUCUCGGCUCUU
rnacentral:misc_RNA from 1 species